rnacentral:rRNA from 1 species
UACGUAGGGUGCGAGCGUUAAUCGGAAUUACUGGGCGUAAAGCGUGCGCAGGCGGUUAUGUAAGACAGGUGUGAAAUCCCCGGGCUUAACCUGGGAACUGCAUUUGUGACUGCAUAGCUAGAGUACGGUAGAGGGGGAUGGAAUUCCGCGUGUAGCAGUGAAAUGCGUAGAUAUGCGGAGGAACACCGAUGGCGAAGGCAAUCCCCUGGAAAACUCCUGACACUGAGGCACGAAAGCUAGGGGAGCAAACAGG